rnacentral:rRNA from 1 species
CCUUACCUGGCCUUGGCAUACUAAGAACUUUCCAGAGAUGGAUUGGUGCCUUCGGGAACUUAGAUACAGGUGCUGCAUGGCUGUCGUCAGCUCGUGUCGUGAGAUGUUGGGUUAAGUCCCGCAACGAGCGCAACCCUUUUCCUUAUUUGCCAGCGGGUUAAGCCGGGAACUUUAAGGAUACUGCCAGUGACAAACUGGAGGAAGGCGGGGACGACGUCAAGUCAUCAUGGCCCUUACGGCCAGGGCUACACACGUGCUACAAUGGUCGGUACAAAGGGUUGCUACCUCGCGAGAGGAUGCUAAUCUCAAAAAGCCGAUCGUAGUCCGGAUCGCAGUCUGCAACUCGACUGCGUGAAGUCGGAAUCGCUAGUAAUCGCGGAUCAGAAUGCCGCGGUGAAUACGUUCCCGGGCCUUGUACACACCGCCCGUCACACCAUGGGAGUUUGUUGCACCAGAAGUAGGUAGUCUAACCGCAAGGAGGACGCUUACCACGGUGUGGCCGAUGACUGGGGUGAAGUCGUAACAAGGUAAGCGUAGAUGA